AGAUUGUGAAAGCAGGAGCAGGGAGGAGCCACACGGUUGUGGUUAGCGAUGAUGGCCGGUCCUUUGCUUUUGGGUUGAAUAAGCAUGGGCAGUUGGGUUUAGGCACCGCCAAAAACGGAUUUGUUUCUGUAGAAGUUGAAUCGUCGCCUCUUCCAUGUGUUGUGUCUGAUGAGGUCACAAACAUUGCCUGUGGGGCUGAGUUCACGGUGUGGUUAUCUUCUACCGAAGGAUCCACUAUACUGUAAUGGUUUCUUUAAUCUUUGGUCUAGUUUUGUUGUUUUGACUCUAAUUGCUUGCUUAAUUGAAAAGUGUUUGUUUAUAGGACUGCCGGACUCCCACAGUAUGGUCAACUUGGUCAUGGAACUGAUCAUGAGUUCAAUAUGAUGGAAACAUGGGUUUAACUCGCCUACGAAGCUCAGCCACGUCCUAAAGCCAUAGCCUCUCUUGCGGGUGAAACAAUUGUCAAAGUUGCAUGUGGAACAAAUCACACAGGUAUAUAACCAUUAUUAUUUUUUUCUC